UGGGGAAUAUUGGACAAUGGGCGCAAGCCUGAUCCAGCCAUGCCGCGUGGGUGAAGAAGGCCCUAGGGUUGUAAACCCCUUUCAGCGGGGAAGAUAAUGACGGUACCCGCAGAAGAAGCCCCGGCUAACUCCGUGCCAGCAGCCGCGGUAAUACGGAGGGGGCUAGCGUUGUUCGGAAUUACUGGGCGUAAAGCGCGCGUAGGCGGACUUUCAAGUCAGGGGUGAAAUCCCGAGGCUCAACCUCGGAACUGCCUUUGAUACUGAUGGUCUUGAGUCCGAGAGAGGUGAGUGGAAUUCCUAGUGUAGAGGUGAAAUUCGUAGAUAUUAGGAAGAACACCAGUGGCGAAGGCGGCUCACUGGCUCGGUACUGACGCUGAGACGCGAAAGCGUGGGGAGCAAACAGGAUUAGAUACCCGCGUAGUCC
rnacentral:rRNA from 1 species